AUGUACAAAGUCUCUACUCUUUUACCAGGCUAUCCACCAUCUACACAGCAGGAUUCACAAAGACAUGUGGAUGCUAGCAAAGUGAUAAAAUUUGGAUGUUUUUGGAAAUAUAGCAUCACAGGCCCAGUAAGGGGGAAAAGCCAACAUCAUGAAGAAUGCAUUAGGAUAAUGAUUUUACCUUGGGGUUAUAAUCUGCAUUGCGUGCCUAGAGAGCUAUUGCUUUCAAGUCCAAUUUACAAUCCAGGCGCUGACCGUCGACACAAUAUUCUUGUCAUCAAAUCAGACACCAGAAAGCAGAGUACACCCAGGAGAAAUCAGACUAGGAAAUAG
rnacentral:rRNA from 1 species